UUCUAUCUCACUGAACAUAGUCCCUGUAUGUGAACUGGUUCAGCUGAUAAGGCUGGUUAUGAAUCAAGAGGAGAAGCUGCAGACAGGAAGGGAGGUUGAGAGUGAAAAGAAGAAGUCAGACUUGUCAGAGUGUCAGACGCCAUUUUACACCUCCACGGAGCAGGAGGACAACAGGACUGGAGAAGAUGAGUGGUUUUAAAGAUGAGGAAGAGGACACAUCUUCAGUCUCCAGCUGUCUGUCUCUGAAGAGUGACCAGUCUAAAGAGUGGAAUCCUCCAGACUUCAGUAAUGAACCUGGACCCUCAGACACAAAACAGAGAGCAGAGUCUCCAGUCCCCAGCUGUCUGUC